rnacentral:pre_miRNA from 1 species
GUGGCUUAGAAAUGACAGCAGUCUGAAGUUGGUUGCAGUUUUUUCAUCUCACCUUGUAAUCACUGACUACAAGGUGAGAUGAAAAAACUGCAACCAACUUCAGACUGCUGUCAUUUCUAAGCCACU